rnacentral:rRNA from 1 species
AUUGAACGCUGGCGGCAGGCCUAACACAUGCAAGUCGAGCGAGCGGCGGACGGGUGAGUAAUGUCUGGGAAACUGCCUGAUGGAGGGGGAUAACUACUGGAAACGGUAGCUAAUACCGCAUACCCUAAGAUGGGCCCCGAUGGGAUUAGAUCGAGGGUGGGGUAACGGCUCACCUCGGCGACGAUCCCUAGCUGGUCUGAGAGGAUGACCAGCCACACUGGAACUGAGACACGGUCCAGACUCCUACGGGAGGCAGCAGUGGGGAAUAUUGCACAAUGGGCGAAAGCCUGAUGCAGCCAUGCCGCGUGUGUGAAGAAGGCCUUCGGGUUGUAAAGCACUUUCAGCGGGGAGGCGUUACCCGCAGAAGAAGCACCGGCUAACUCCGUGCCAGCAGCCGCGGUAAUAC